UAAUGUGAUUCUUUCCUUCCUUCCAGGUUUUGGAGUUUGAAUUGACUCCAGAAGACAUGAAAGCAAUUGAUGGCCUGAACAGAAAUUUCAGAUUUUUUAAAUUGCCAUUUGCUGUAGGUCACCCUUAUUAUCCAUUUUCUGAAGAAUAUUGACCAUCAACUACCCAUCAUGUGUGGAGAGGAUUUCUGCAUUUGGGGGAGGUGAUUAAAAGCAGUUCUGUAGUUUCAUGCUGCUUCUCUGUUUUAUUUUUAAAAAUCUUUUUAUUUUGUGAAAUAAUAAAGACUUCCAAAUGAA